rnacentral:rRNA from 1 species
AUGGCUGUUCGCCAUUUAAAGUGGUACGCGAGCUGGGUUUAGAACGUCGUGAGACAGUUCGGUCCCUAUCUGCCGUGGGCGCUGGAGAACUGAGGGGGGCUGCUCCUAGUACGAGAGGACCGGAGUGGACGCAUCACUGGUGUUCGGGUUGUCAUGCCAAUGGCACUGCCCGGUAGCUAAAUGCGGAAGAGAUAAGUGCUGAAAGCAUCUAAGCACGAAACUUGCCCCGAGAUGAGUUCUCCCUGAGACUUUAGGUCUCCUGAAGGAACGUUGAAGACGACGACGUUGAUAGGCCGGGUGUGUAAGCGCAGCGAUGCGUUGAGCUAACCGGUACUAAUGAACCGUGAGGCUUAACCUUAC